rnacentral:rRNA from 1 species
GGCGGCAUGCCUUACACAUGCAAGUCGAACGGCAGCACGGAGCUUGCUCUGGUGGCGAGUGGCGAACGGGUGAGUAAUAUAUCGGAACGUACCCAAGAGUGGGGGAUAACGUAGCGAAAGUUACGCUAAUACCGCAUACGAUCUAAGGAUGAAAGCAGGGGAUCGCAAGACCUUGUGCUCCUGGAGCGGCCGAUAUCUGAUUAGCUAGUUGGUGGGGUAAAGGCCCACCAAGGCAACGAUCAGUAGCUGGUCUGAGAGGACGACCAGCCACACUGGAACUGAGACACGGUCCAGACUCCUACGGGAGGCAGCAGUGGGGGAUUUUGGACAAUGGGGGCAACCCUGAUCCAGCAAUGCCGCGUGAGUGAAGAAGGCCUUCGGGUUGUAAAGCUCUUUUGUCAGGGAAGAAAAGGUCGCAGCUAAUAUCUGUGGCUCAUGACGGUACCUGAAGAAUAAGCACCGGCUAACUACGUGCCAGCAGCCGCGGUAAUACGUAGGGUGCAAGCGUUAAUCGGAAUUACUGGGCGUAAAGCGUGCGCAGGCGGUUUUGUAAGACUGUCGUGAAAUCCCCGGGCUCAACCUGGGAAUGGCGAUGGUGACUGCAAGGCUAGAGUUUGGCAGAGGGGGGUAGAAUUCCACGUGUAGCAGUGAAAUGCGUAGAUAUGUGGAGGAACACCGAUGGCGAAGGCAGCCCCCUGGGUCAAAACUGACGCUCAUGCACGAAAGCGUGGGGAGCAAACAGGAUUAGAUACCCUGGUAGUCCACGCCCUAAACGAUGUCUACUAGUUGUCGGGUCUUAAUUGACUUGGUAACGCAGCUAACG